rnacentral:rRNA from 1 species
UGGGGAAUAUUGGACAAUGGGGGCAACCCUGAUCCAGCCAUGCUGCGUGAGUGAAGAAGGCCCUCGGGUUGUAAAGCUCUUUUGUCCGGAAAGAAAAGCUUCGGGUUAAUACCCCGGGGUUCUGACGGUACCGGAAGAAUAAGCACCGGCUAACUUCGUGCCAGCAGCCGCGGUAAUACGAAGGGUGCAAGCGUUACUCGGAAUUACUGGGCGUAAAGCGUGCGUAGGUGGUUGUUUAAGUCUGAUGUGAAAGCCCUGGGCUCAACCUGGGAAUGGCAUUGGNAACUGGGCAGCUAGAGUGCGGUAGAGGGUAGUGGAAUUCGCGGUGUAGCAGUGAAAUGCGUAGAGAUCGGGAGGAACAUCUGUGGCGAAGGCGACUGCCUGGACCAGCACUGACACUGAGGCACGAAAGCGUGGGGAGCAAACA